AUACGUAGGGGGCGAGCGUUGUCCGGAAUUACUGGGCGUAAAGGGUGCGUAGGCGGCUAAUUAAGUUGGAUAUGAAAUACCCGAGCUUAACUUGGGGGGUGCAUUCAAAACUGGUUGGCUAGAGUUCAGGAGAGGGAAGCGGAAUUCCUAGUGUAGCGGUGAAAUGCGUAGAUAUUAGGAGGAACACCAGUGGCGAAGGCGGCUUUCUGGACUGACACUGACGCUGAUGCACGAAAGCGUGGGGAGCAAACAGGAUUAGAUACCCUGGUAGUCCACGCUGUAAACGAUGAAUACUAGGUGUAGGGGGUAUGAACUCCCCCUGUGCCGUAGCAAACGCAAUAAGUAUUCCGCCUGGGGAGUACGGCCGCAAGGUUGA
rnacentral:rRNA from 1 species